UCUCCGUUGGUGAACCAGCGGAGGGAUCAUUACCGAGUUAUUCAACUCCCAAACCCACUGUGAACCUACCUUUUUCGUUGCUUCGGCGGGAGUGCCCCGGGCGCCUCAGCGCUGCCCCGGAACCAGGCGCCCGCCGGAGGCCCAAAACUCUGUAUUUUUUUCAGUGGCAUUCUUCUGAGUGGCUUCCACGGAAGCGAAAAAAAAGUGAAUCAAAACUUUCAACAACGGAUCUCUUGGUUCUG
rnacentral:misc_RNA from 1 species